GAUAAUGGCUCAGGAUGAACGCUGGCGGCAUGCCUAAUACAUGCAAGUCGAACGAGAGGAAGGAAAGCUUGCUUUUCUGAAUCUAGUGGCGAACGGGUGAGUAACACGUAGGUAACCUGCCCAUGUGCCCGGGAUAACUUCUGGAAACGGAUGCUAAAACCGGAUAGGUAGCAGACAAGCAUUUGACUGCUAUUAAAGUGGCCUUGGCCAUGAACAUGGAUGGACCUGCGGUGCA
rnacentral:rRNA from 1 species